UCAUAACCGGCAAUGUCUCAGAAACCACUCCUUUCACGGAACAAUCAAACCCGGCAAUGUCUCAGAAACCACUCCUUUCACGGAACAAUCAGAACCGGCAAUGUCUCAGAAACCACUCCUUUCACGGAACAAUCAUAACUGGCAAUGUCUCAGAAACCACUCCUUUCACAGAACAAUCAAAAGCGGGAAUGUCUCAGAAACCACUCUUUUCACAGAACAAUCAGAACCGGAAAUGUCUCAGAAACCACUCCUUACACAGAUAUAAAACAAGAAUUCAAUGGCUCAGAAACCACUGCUUUCAUGGAACAAUGACAGUAGCUAAGACUCAAAAAUAAUCCCCUUCAGGGAACAUCAGAGAGGUAAAAGAUUAAGGAACUAAUCCUUUUAAUGGUAAACUGCAAAAUUGCAAUAUCACUUGUUUUCAAUUCAAGGUAAUUGCAACCAUUUCUUUUAAUUUACUAAUUAUAAACCAUUAUAGUUAUUCAUAAUAAUGGAUAAUUAUCACAUUAUCUUGAAUCUUACUGCUAUUGAUCCAACAAUACUUACCAGAUAAUUUAAGAUAAAAGAAAUUAAAUACAGUUGUAUGAUUCAUAGUUUAUUUUUUUAUCAUAACUGAUAAUCUUUGUGGAUAACCUUCAGUCCCUGUAUAUAAAAAUAACAUCUAUGGUGCUUUGUAAAUGCUAUAACACUGGAUGGAGUAAAAUAUUCUGUAUAUAUAAUUAUAUACAUGGUUUAUAAUAAGAGUCAAUCUAUAAAAUGCAUAAUGUGAUCUUAGCACCAUAUAAUAUGACAUUCACACUGUUAAAAUUAAACUUAAAAUAACUGAAAUCAAAAUGUAUGCAUGAAUAAGUACUGUAUUCAACCUAAUAAGUGCACCUGCCCAUUUUACCCACUGCCUUUUUUUUCAGGAAAAGAAGAUGGGUGCAAUAAUUCAAAGAUAUGUUAAUUCCUAUAUAAUCAGAAGUCUUUUAGCCAUAGACUCUGGAUUGUUUUCUCUGCAUAAGUUUAUGGAAAUGAACAAUUAUUUCCCUCUCAGAUUUCUCAUGAAACCUUUAACCUGCACAUGGUUUUAUUAAAUACACUUUGAUUGUGUUAAUUAGGUAAAGAUACAGUGCACUUAUUAGGUCGAAUACGGUAAUGGCACACUAACAUAUGGACACCCCUUUUAAUCUAAGUAAGACACAGUUGGGACACACAUCCCUCACUUGACAUAUAUCCUUUUAUCUACAUACAUAAUAAUGUACACACAUGUACACACAUGUACACAUUUAUCUUUCACCAGAAUUACAGGAAAUUGCCUUACCAAAAUGGCUUUUUCUCCCACCAUAUUGUAAUAUUAUGAGUUCCUACCUGAUUAUUCUCAAACACAUA